rnacentral:rRNA from 1 species
UACGGAGGGUGCGAGCGUUAAUCGGAAUUACUGGGCGUAAAGCGUGCGUAGGCGGCUCGUUAAGUCAGAUGUGAAAGCCCUGGGCUCAACCUGGGAACUGCAUUUGAAACUGGCGAGCUAGAGUUUAAGAGAGGUAAGUGGAAUUUCAGGUGUAGCGGUGAAAUGCGUAGAGAUCUGAAGGAACACCAGUGGCGAAGGCGACUUACUGGCUUAAAACUGACGCUGAGGUACGAAAGCGUGGGUAGCAAACAGG